CUGUAGCUACUGGAUCACUCAUGUCCAUGUGCUUGUUGACACCUCCAAGAAUUCUAACAAAUUGGUGAGGCAUGAUUUCUCUUUCCAAACACCAUGUUGGCUCUUCCCCAACAUAUGUUCAUCUCUGUUUUUGAUAAUUCUGUUCUUUACUAUAGUUUCAACCAG